rnacentral:lncRNA from 1 species
CAACUCAAUCUCAAACAUACUAUAUACUGACCAGCAAUCAAUAAAACACUGGUCAAACAGGCUCCCAAGCCAUAGCACUACAUCACUUGUUUGCGUCCAAACUGUGUACACGCAAUGAUAUCUUGCAACUCACGCAGAAUACAUGUAUUAUAACAGUCAUAGCUACUGAAUCUCAAACAUACUUUAUACUGGCCAGUGAUCAAUAAAAUACUAGUCAAACAUGCUCCCAAACCAUAGCACUACAUCACUUGUUUGCUUCCAAACUAUGUAUACACAAUGAUAUCUAGCAACUCACAUUCUCACCGCAUUUGGUCUAAGCAGUUGGAAAGCAGAAUACAUGUAGAAAUACCGAGCAGCAAAUAUACAUACAUGGCACUGUAUUCAUGGCAU